rnacentral:lncRNA from 1 species
GUGACCUGGAACAAUUAAAAGAUGGAUAUGGCAUGAGAAAUACAAGAAAUCCAGAAUAAGGAAUUUUUCAGCAACUUAUAAAGUAUUAUCUUAACACUGAGAAUAAUAAUUUCCUUUAAAAUUCAUCAGCUGCUAGCAAGUGUCCAGAAGACAACACAGAAUUCCCUCCUCUCUCUUCAUUGCCCUCCAGGACCACUCUCCUCAAGCACGAGUCCUUUGUACAAAGAUUUAGGUUGAGAAGCCUACACUCGCAAUCAUAAGAAAAUCAGAUAAAUAGGAAUGGAAUUAACCCAUGAAUUAAUUAUUUGGUAAUACUGUCUUCUAGAUUAAUGUCUCUUGGAUUAUCUGAUGAAUGCUGCAGUUAACUAACUUUCUUUUGAUCCUCCUACUGGGAAAAAUAGAAAGGAUGAGAUGGCGGGGGUGGAAAGAUAAUUACGCUCGAGAAGCUGAGAGCAUCUUAUCCAUACUAGGAAGGUUAAACUCAAGUAGUUCCUUCUCAAAACUCCUACUACCAUGUGGGGAUGCCAGUGUGAAGUUGUUCAGCCAGUUUCAAUUUAGUAAGUGUUCUCAUGCUCUUGCGACACCUGGCAUAUGGUAAAUGCAUUGAGACUUGUAAAAAACAGUGAUUCAUGGUUAAUCAUUCAGAAAAGAGUCAGAGAUUCAAGGUAACCUUGUAUUUCUGCAAAAAAAAAAAAAAGUUUAUCUACACCCCAAUUUUUAUCUGUUUUAUGAGGCAGAAAUUGCAGGUGAGAUUGAGAAUAGAAUCUGGACCCUCAUUCAUUUUACAAAAUUUUGCACCACCAAUGAAGAAAUCAAGAAGACAAGCCAGCCAAAGUGAGGUUGACCCUGUGGAAGAAGCGUGGCUCUUAAAAGACACAGAAACGGCAGGCAUAACACAUAGAGAUUAG